GCCUGGGUGGCUCACUAGGUUGAGCUUCUGACUUCAGCUCAGGUCAUGAUGUCACAGCUAGUGGUUUCAAGUCCCGCAUCGGGCU
rnacentral:tRNA from 1 species